GAGGCUAGAGCUCAGUGGUAGAGCACGUGCUUAGCAUGUACAAGGUCCUGGGUCCAAUACCCAGUAUCUCCA
rnacentral:tRNA from 1 species